rnacentral:rRNA from 1 species
ACGAAGGGGGCAAGCGUUGUCCGGACUGACUGGGCGUAAAGCGCGCGCAGGCGGUCUCGGGCGUCGGUGCUGAAAGUCCACCGCUUAACGGUGGGAUGCGUGCCGAUACGCCGAGACUGGAGGGUGGGCGAGGGUGGUGGAAUUGCCGGUGUAGUGGUGAAAUGCGUAGAGAUCGGCAGGAACACCCGUGGCGGAAGCGGCCACCUAGCCCGCACCUGACGCUGAGGCGCGACAGCGUGGGGAGCGAACGGGA